CGCAGGUGUAGCCAUUGACUGCAUCUACGCAGACAGCUCCAUGGCGACACUUAUGGCCCACACAGUCAUCGUCAUCUAUUUCACAGUGUUUGCCACUGUAACCAGGCAAGCACUCGCAUCUGGAUCCUUUGUCAAGUGGAACACAUUUGGACUCAUGUUGGCAUGGAUUUAGCUCAGGAAUGCAGUGGUUAAUCACCUCAUCACACAGUUCACCUGUGUAAUUAGGAGGACAGAGACAGACAUAGUUGUUGAUCCCAUCCACACACGUAGAGUUAUUCUCACAGUCAUUAUCUUCGCAGUCAUCUGGGUUUAUUUCACACCUCUCCCCCUCAUAGCCAAGGGGGCAAGAACAGCUGAAUCCAUCUUUAUUUGCCUCGGUGAGGUGGCAGGUCCCUCCAUUCUGACAUGGAUUUUGAAUGCAAGAAUUAAUGGGCACACUGCAGUCCCGACCCUUGAAGCCAAAAGGGCAGGUGCACUGAUAAAACUCCACUGGAUCAUUGCUGCAUGUCCCAUUGUUCUUACAUGGAUUGGAGAGGCAGGGGUUACACUUGGACACAACGCUGAUAUCUACCGGCUCUUUGCACUGGAAGUGGUGGGUUGGUGUUGUGAGCAGCAGCCUGUCCACCAUGGCUUCCGGCCCGCUGCAGCGGGCUAUUCCUGGCUCUUUGUACCCUGCCUUCACCCACUCGGAAAGCCAGCGGAGGUUGCAG
rnacentral:lncRNA from 1 species